UUUUUUUAGGAAUUCAUACUUGCCUUUAUCAGAAACUGAUAUAUGCAGUAGUCCAGAAAUAAAUUUUUGUUUGCAAAAAGGGAACUCGCAACUAGCUAAACCGAAAAAAAAUCUGAGCGAAAGUCUUGCACAAAAAAGCCAUAAAAAGUUAAGUACAGAGUACGAAGAUCUUCCUGAGCCACCUGUUUUUCCAAAUUCUCACUUAAAUUGUAACACUCCAGAACAUGUGACAAGCAGAUCAAGUGGCCUGUCUAGCAUUCUGUCAUCAUUUUCUAAACCUCAUGGAAAGCCACUUUAAAAGAAUUUCCAUUAUGCUCUUCAGAUGGAUGGCUGUAUUCAGUUGCAACACCUGUAGAACAGAAACUAAUUCUUCUUCUUGAAGAAAUUAAAGCGCAAGGAGACGAGCUUAAGGAACAAGGAGAAAAAACUAUAAACCUGUUACAGCACCUUGCAAAAACAAAUGACGGAGAGAGUUUAGUUAGAGGAUUACCUUUCCAAUUACCAGCAACAACUGUUGAAGAGUUUAACCUUAUAAACGAUCAAGCUAAAGAAAGCGACAUUAAAGGAAGACUGACAAGAUUUCUUGGAUUGGUUGGCGGCUCAAUGUAAAGUCAACUACCAGAGCAGUGCUAAGUCGUUUACUGAUCACAGAUGUAGCAAAGUUAUGUAAUUGGAAGGGAAAAGGAAAUAAGAUUGCAUUUAGCAAAAUGUACCUUGUUGGAAUUGUUUGUGGUAAAAUUACUUAUUUUAUAUUUGUGAUAUAUAAAACAAGCCCGUAGACAAUUUUUUUUGAUGUUUCAGUUAAGCAACUUUAAGACUUAUAGAAAACUCCAUUUUUAAGUAUGUUCAUAUAUAU
rnacentral:misc_RNA from 1 species